UGGGGAAUAUUGCACAAUGGGGGAAACCCUGAUGCAGCGACGCCGCGUGAGCGAAGAAGGCUUUCGAGUCGUAAAGCUCUGUCCUAUGAGAAGAUAAUGACGGUAUCAUAGGAGGAAGCCCUGGCUAAAUACGUGCCAGCAGCCGCUGUAAUACGUAUGGGGCGAGCGUUGUCCGGAAUUAUUUGGCGUAAAGGGUACGUAGGCGGUUUUUUAAGUCAGGUGUCAAAGCGUGGAGCUUAACUCCAUUAAGCACUUGAAACUGAAAGACUUGAGUGAAGGAGAGAAAAGUGGAAUUCCUAGUGUAGCGAUGAAAUGCGAAGAUAUUAGGAAGAAUACCGGUGGCGAAGGCGACUUUCUGGACUUUUACUGACGCUCAGGUACGAAAGCGUGGGGAGCAAACAGG
rnacentral:rRNA from 1 species